rnacentral:rRNA from 1 species
GCAACCCUGGUGGCGAGUGGCGGACGGGUGAGUAAUGUAUCGGAACGUGCCCUGAAGUGGGGGAUAACGCAGCGAAAGCUACGCUAAUACCGCAUAUUCUGUGAGCAGGAAAGCAGGGGAUCGCAAGACCUUGCGCUUUGGGAGCGGCCGAUGUCGGAUUAGCUAGUUGGUGGGGUAAAGGCCUACCAAGGCGACGAUCCGUAGCGGGUCUGAGAGGAUGAUCCGCCACACUGGGACUGAGACACGGCCCAGACUCCUACGGGAGGCAGCAGUGGGGAAUUUUGGACAAUGGGCGGAAGCCUGAUCCAGCCAUGCCACGUGAGUGAAGAAGGCCUUCGGGUUGUAAAGCUCUUUCGGCGGGGAAGAAAUUGCUUGGGUUAAUACCCUGAGUAGAUGACGGUACCCGAAUAAGAAGCACCGGCUAACUACGUGCCAGCAGCCGCGGUAAUACGUAGGGUGCGAGCGUUAAUCGGAAUUACUGGGCGUAAAGCGUGCGCAGGCGGUUUUGUAAGUCAGAUGUGAAAUCCCCGGGCUCAACCUGGGAACUGCAUUUGAGACUGCAAGACUGGAGUUUGGCAGAGGGGGGUGGAAUUCCACGUGUAGCAGUGAAAUGCGUAGAG